ACACUCCUGCGGGAGGCAGCAGUGGGGAAUAUUGGACAAUCGGCGCAAGCCUGAUCCCGCCAUGCCGCGUGAGUGAUGAAGGCCCUAGGGUUGUAAAGCUCUUUCACCGGUGAAGAUAAUGACGGUAACCGGAGAAGAAGCCCCGGCUAACUUCGUGCCAGCAGCCGCGGUAAUACGAAGGGGGCUAGCGUUGUUCGGAUUUACUGGGCGUAAAGCGCACGUAGGCGGACUAUUAAGUCAGGGGUGAAAUCCCGGGGCUCAACCCCGGAACUGCCUUUGAUACUGGUAGUCUUGAGUUCGAGAGAGGUGAGUGGAAUUCCGAGUGUAGAGGUGAAAUUCGUAGAUAUUCGGAGGAACACCAGUGGCGAAGGCGGCUCACUGGCUCGAUACUGACGCUGAGGUGCGAAAGCGUGGGGAGCAAACAGGAUUAGAUACCCCUGUAGUCCCAUGAU
rnacentral:rRNA from 1 species